UUCUGACCGUAAACGAUGCCAACUAGCGAUCCGCCGGUGGCUCUACGGCCCUGGUGGGGAGCUUCCCGGAAACGAAAGUCUUCCGGUUCCGGGGGAAGUAUGGUUGCAAAGCUGAAACUUAAAGGAAUUGACGGAAGGGCACCACCAGGAGUGGAGCCUGCGGCUUAAUUUGACUCAACACGGGAAAACUCACCCGGCCCGGACACCGUGAGGAUUGACAGAUUGAUAGCUUUUUCAUGAUUCGGUGGUUGGUGGUGCAUGGCCGUUCUUAGUUCGUGGAUCGAUUUGUCUGGUUUAUUCCGAUAACGAGCGAGACUCCAGCCUACUAAAUAGUGCAGGCAUUGCUACUGUGCAUUGCACUUCUUAGAGGGAUUGGCUGCGUCUAGCGGCACGAAACGGAGCAAUAACAGGUCUGUGAUGCCCUUAGAUGUCCGGGGCUGCACGCGCGCUACACUGGCAAAGGCAGCGUGCUUGUCCGUCUCCGAAAGGAGCCGGUAAACCCUUGAAAAUUUGCCGUGAUUGGGAUCGGAAAUUGCAAUUAUUUUCCGUGAACGAGGAAUUCCUAGUAAGUGCGAGUCAUCAGCUCGCGUUG
rnacentral:rRNA from 1 species